GGGUAGGUCUGGAAGCACCAUCAAAUAUCCAUGAGGGCAAAGUAACAGACUCUUCCAUAGAAAUUCUCUGGAAUCGAGCUGAUGGGAAUUUUCAGCAUUAUGAAAUCACAUGCAUGAACUGUACUGCUGCUUUCAUGGUAUGUUACAAGCGGCUCUUGGAAGCAUUAAACUUGAAUCUUUCAUGCUGAAUCCAAUAUUACUGCAUUCUUACAUUAGAUAGUAGUGAAACUAAAUAACCCCCAUGCUUAUUUGGUUGUGUUGAAUCGUGGAACAUUUUUAAAAUGGACGCUUGCUAAUUUACUUCUUUUGGAUUGAUAGGUCCAGAAGGUAGUUCGAGAAGCAGCAACAUUCUCUAACCUGGAUCCUGCCACAGUGUACACUUUCUCAAUUCGCACUGAAAAAGAAGGUUUUAAAGACAGCACUCCUCAUAUAAAAGAAAUACAGACAGCCCCAAGUGCAGCUGAAUUUAUGAACCAUAGUAGAAACUCCAGUGCAAUAACUGUUAGCUGGCCAUCAGCUAGAAGUCUUCUGGAUGGGUACAUCAUUUCAAUAUCCAGCAAAAGCUUAAUGAAAGAGGAAGUCCUCCUGUCUCCCACACAAAGGACCUUCACAUUUAAUAGCCUUGCUUCAGGGACUGACUUUUUAAUUGGCAUUAUAACUACCAAGGGACUGAAGAGAAGCCAUCCUACUGUCCUCAUGGUUAGCACUUGUAAGUUUAUUUUAUAUUUAAUUGACUUUUCAUGUGUAAAAAAGAUUGGAAAUGGUUGUGUUUAAAGCCAAUAUCUAACUAAAAAUGAAUGAAAA
rnacentral:lncRNA from 1 species